UCGCCGAGCGGGUUGGCCACGGCCGGGUUCUUGGCGAGGAUCUUCAGGUUCAGGCGUUCGGGCCACCAUUGGCGGU
rnacentral:tRNA from 2 species